rnacentral:rRNA from 1 species
GUUGCGGUUAAACAUAAUAUACAAGUAAAAUAGUUUGGUUAUUAGUAUUAAGUAUAAUUUAUAAUUUAAUUUUUUUUAAUAAAGUAAAAUUUAAUUAAGAAUUAUUAUUAUAAUUAUUUUAUUCUAUUAAAUUUUAUUUAAAACUAGGAUUAGAUACCCUAUUAUAAAAGUUUAAAUUAAUUUACUAAAAAAUUAAUAGUUAUGUUCUUUAAAUUUAAAAAAUUUGGCGGUAUUUUAGUCUUAUUAGAGGAACCUGUUUUUUAAUUGAUAAUCCACGAUUAAUUUUACUUAUUUAAGAUAAUUCAUAUAUCGCUGUCAUGAAUAUAUUUAAAAAUUUAUUUUCUUUAUUUAUUUUUAUGAUUUAUGUUAAGUCAAGAUGUGGUUUAUAAAUAAGUUUAUAAUGGGUUACAUUAAAUUUUAUUUUUGGAUUUUAGAUGAAAAUUAAAAUGAAAUUGGAUUUAAUAGUAAAUUUAUUUAUUUAAUUAAUAUGAAU